UGGGGAAUCUUGGGCAAUGGGCGAAAGCCUGACCCAGCGACGCCGCGUGCGGGAAGAAGCCCUUCGGGGUGUAAACCGCUUUUGCCGGGGACGAGAAAGGACGGUACCCGGCGAAUAAGGCCCGGCCAACUACGUGCCAGCAGCCGCGGUAAUACGUAGGGGCCGAGCGUUACCCGGAUUUACUGGGCGUAAAGCGCGCGUAGGCGGGG
rnacentral:rRNA from 1 species